rnacentral:rRNA from 1 species
GAGACCUCAGGACAGGCGGGGCUACCCGCUGAGUUUAAGCAUAUCAAUAAGCGGAGAAAAAG